CAUCAGAAGGCGACAUGUUUAGUUGCUACUUCCUACAUGCUCAACGCGUCCUUGGGACUCUUUGCUCUUCAGAAUAUGAUUAAUUAACAAUUAUUAAUUUAAUAAUAAUUACAGAAAGCAUAUGAAGUGAUGAACCGUCUUUGAAAGAUGAGCGCUCCUAAUGCUAGUGAGCGCAAAGCCUGCUGGGGCGCCAGAGACCAGCUCUGGAAGUGUCUAGAUGGCCAUUAAGACCAAACAUCUGCCUGUGAGAAACACCAGCGAGAGUUUGAAGCCAUGUGUCCUGCCCAGUGGGUGAAGUAUUUCGUCAAACAGAGGGACUUCUUGAAGUACAAGGAGAAAAUACAAAAGCAGGGCUAUGAACCGACUGAAGGAGCAUCAAAAUUAUAGCCAUCGGAGGAAAUGAAAACACUGGACUCUGACAAUGAGAAGUUAUAUGAAACAAUGUGUUUUUGUCUCAUCUUGUAAUUUAUCGGAAUGAAUCAGUGCUGUAUUGAGCUUGUGAUGUUUGAAAUGCAAAAGAAAUAAAUGAACCAAAAAUACAGUGUUUUAUUAUGGUUUCAGAGAUGUCAGGUGAAAUAAAUUGAUCACAACGAUUUGCUGCCGACAAUAACAAAAUGUUAGUUUCCUGUAUGUACAACGAUCAACGGCACAGAGGUUUAUUCAGUUUACGAUUGCGAAUAUUUUUUUGUAACGUUUGAAACAAUCUUCCGUAACCAGAACCCAAAAACUAUGUAACAUUUUGGUAAGAGCAUGUUAGAUACUAGCGACAGCGACUUCAUCUGAUGCAGAAUCUCCCUCAAACCUCUCAAGUAAAUAACGCAAAUGUAUCACGACAUAGACGCAUACAGAUAUGUUACAUCGGUGGUUUCACACAAACAUCGCUGAUUGUGUCUUGUAGGCACGUAAACUUG